rnacentral:SRP_RNA from 1 species
AGCCAAGUCCCGUGCAGUUAAGAUGCACCCAACCCCGCCAGGUUCGGAAGGAAGCAACGGUCAGUGUAUUCUUAAGGUGCCACGGUCAACUUGGCUGUU